UACGUAGGGUGCAAGCGUUAUCCGGAAUUAUUGGGCGUAAAGAGCUCGUAGGCGGUUUUGUCGCGUCUGCUGUGAAAACCUAAGGCUCAACCUUGGGCUUGCAGUGGGUACGGGCAGACUAGAGUGCGGUAGGGGGAGAUUGGAAUUCCUGGUGUAGCGGUGGAAUGCGCAGAUAUCAGGAGGAACACCGAUGGCGAAGGCAGAUCUCUGGGCCGUUACUGACGCUGAGGAGCGAAAGCGUGGGGAGCGAACAGG
rnacentral:rRNA from 1 species